rnacentral:lncRNA from 1 species
CUACUUUACCUUCUCUAUCCGGUAUAUUUCCAGUCUUUUUACUUUCUAUCUUGUGUAUGUGCUUUAUAUAUUUUUGAUGGAUUGGUGGGCUAUGGUUUAUCAUUUUCUUUUUGGGUUUUCAAUUUUUUUUGUUCUUCUUUGGUUAAUUUUUUAUUUUGGGCCAGUUGAAAUUGAUCAUUGUAGUCUACCAGAUGUUUCACAUGCACCAUUCUACUCCAAAAAAAAUAAUAAAUAAAAUAGAAAAAUUAUAUGCCCC